rnacentral:rRNA from 1 species
AAGUUUCUGAUAAUAAAAAUUAUUGUUAUUGAAUUUAUAUUGUUGUUGAAAAUAACAAUUUAACCUCUAAGACAAAAAGACCCUAGAAUUUUUGUUGCACUUUAUUGUGCUUCUUUGUUGGGGAAAUGAAAUAUUUUAAAAUA